rnacentral:rRNA from 1 species
GACGAACGCUGGCGGCGUGCCUAAUACAUGCAAGUCGAGCGGACCAAAGGGAGCUUGCUCCUGGAGGUUAGCGGCGAACGGGUGAGUGACACGUGGGCAACCUGCCUGUAAGACUGGGAUAACAUCGAGAAAUCGGUGCUAAUACCGGAUAAUAAAAAGAACUGCAUGGUUCUUUUUGAAAGAUGGUUUCGGCUAUCACUUACAGAUGGGCCGCGGCGCAUUAGCUAGUUGGUGAGGUAACGGCUCACCAAGGCGACGAUGCGUAGCCGACCUGAGAGGGUGAUCGGCCACACUGGGACUGAGACACGGCCCAGACUCCUACGGGAGGCAGCAGUAGGGAAUCUUCCGCAAUGGACGAAAGUCUGACGGAGCAACGCCGCGUGAGUGAUGAAGGUUUUCGGAUCGUAAAACUCUGUUGUUAGGGAAGAACAAGUGCCGUUCGAAAGGGCGGCACCUUGACGGUACCUAACGAGAAAGCCACGGCUAACUAACGUGCCAGCAGCCGACGG